AACACCAUCAAAGUUGUCCCGUAUUUGUAUAAAGACACCUUAACUUUUAAAGUGUCUUAUCACCCCCAUGAACUGUUUAAUUUCUUUGUAAAUGGAUCAUUUUGACUCAUUCUCAAGUCUGGGUUGUUACCACGCACAUGAGGCACGUCAUGCAGUAUUUUUACUGCCAUAUACCAGUUUAAAGGACAAAGCUGCAGCCGCUAUCGAAGAAGCUUGAUCUCCUGGUUGAUCUUGCUAGACAAUAAUGGCUCUCUUUAUGGUGACCUGAAACGAGUUUAUCACUGAAAAUUAAUGUGAAGGUGGGAGGAAGAAACUCUGUGUUAGUUGAUGCAAUAUCUAGGCAGAUCCCCCUUGGGGCGCUACUUAGAUCUGGAAAUAUUAGUGCAGAUAUGAGUUUUGCUACCAAAAGGGUUGCAACUAAAAGCAAUUUCACAUUCAAAAUUUUCUUGUCACCUAACUCCAUAGUUGAAUAGAAAAACCCGAAUGAAGAAAAAUUAAUGGAAGUUUUUUUGAAGGUGCAUGCCAAACUAAGAAGAAAAGGAAAGGAGAAGAUGACUUUUCUUCAAAGAAUAUGGUCGGGUCGGGUUGAAUUAUAUCAUAAGAAGUUGAGCAACACGCACCAUUACAUAGACUAGGGAAUGGGUCAAAAUGGUCCAUUUACAAAGAAAUUAAAUAGUUAUGUGGGGUGAUAAGACACUUUAAAAGUUAAAGUGUCUUUAUGCAAAUACGGAACAACUUUGAUGGUGUACAUCAGUUAGAUUAUCUAGUACAUCCCUAAUCACACCGAUUACAGUACGUGCCUCAUUUUGUUGAUUUCUACGUCGCGUCCAUUUACGUGCAAGAGCAGUUGAAGCCUCAAGUUGAUUGGUCCUUAGAGGCUUUGGCAAUGGUUGCAGGGGAAUAACUCUUUCCCAUGCCCAAAUCUACAAUAAAUAAAUUCACUAUUACUUAUAAUGCACUUAAAUUUAAAAGUGCAUAUUACUAGUAUAUAAAAAGAUAUUUAAUUAAAAAAUAUGUAUACCUGCACUAAAGAGAAAAAUCCACAAACUUCAAUUGAUUUUUUCAUUGAUGCACGGCAUAAACAAUUAUACAAAUAUGAUAAUGCGGUUGCUCCC